GGAGCCGUGCCUGAACGCUUAAGGGCCACUUUGAUAGAGUGAACCAAGGAGGUUAGACUCCUCCCGACUCCU
rnacentral:tRNA from 1 species